rnacentral:rRNA from 1 species
UUCGGCGGGAGAGUAAAGUGGCGCACGGGUGAGUAACGCGUGGGUAAUUUGCCCUUGAGACCGGGAUAACCUUGCGAAAGCGGGGCUAAUACCGGAUAAGACCACGAUCCGUUCGCGGGAUGUGGUAAAAGGUGGCCUCUACAUGUAAGCUAGCACUCAAGGAUAAGCCCGCGUACCAUUAGCUUGUUGGUAGAGUAAAAGCCUACCAAGGCAACGAUGGUUAGCUGGUCUGAGAGGAUGAUCAGCCACACUGGAACUGAGACACGGUCCAGACUCCUACGGGAGGCAGCAGUGGGGAAUCUUGCGCAAUGGGGGAAACCCUGACGCAGCAACGCCGCGUGAGUGAUGAAGGCCUUCGGGUCGUAAAGCUCUGUCAGGUGGGAAGAAAGGUUCUGGUGAUAAUACCACCAGGAGUUGACGGUACCACCAGAGGAAGCCCCGGCUAACUCCGUGCCAGCAGCCGCGGUAAUACGGAGGGUGCGAGCGUUGUUCGGAUUUAUUGGGCGUAAAGGGCGUGUAGGCGGUCAGAUAAGUCCGGUGUGAAAGUCCUUGGCUUAACCAAGGAAUGUCGCUGGAAACUGUCUGACUUGAGUACGAGAGAGGAGAGUGGAAUUCCCGGUGUAGAGGUGAAAUUCGUAGAUAUCGGGAGGAACACCGGUGGCGAAGGCGGCUCUCUGGCUCGAUACUGACGCUGAUACGCGAAAGCGUGGGGAGCAAACAGGAUUAGAUACCCU